GAUGAACGUUGGCGGCGUGCCUAAUACAUGCAAGUCGAACGAAGACUGUAGUAAUACUGUCUUAGUGGCGAACGGGUGAGUAACGCGUGGGUGACCUGCCCCGAAGUGUGGGAUAACAGUCCGAAAGGAUUGCUAAUACUGCAUAAUAUCCAAGAGAUUAGAUGCUUUUUGGAUUAAAGGAGUAAUUCGCUUCGGGAGGGGCCCGCGUCCCAUCAGCUAGUUGGUAAGGUAAUGGCUUACCAAGGCGAUGACGGGUAGGGGACCUGAGAGGGUGGCCCCCCACAAUGGAACUGAAACACGGUCCAUACACCUACGGGUGGCAGCAGUAGGGAAUAUUAGUAAUGGGCGAAAGCCUGAACUAGCAACGCCGCGUGUGCGAAGAAGGCCUUCGGGUUGUAAAGCACUUUUUGAGAGGAUGAGGAAGGACGGGUACUCUCAGAAUAAGUCUCGGCUAACUACGUGCCAGCAGCCGCGGUAAGAUCACGUGUA
rnacentral:rRNA from 1 species